CGAUUUGGUUUUAUACCGAGCCAUGAACGAGGCAGAGGUUUGAUCGAUUAUAUUGGUGUUAUAUAUGCAUAGUAUUGAUAAACACUCAAUUUGGGGAGGUUCGGUUAAAUUACGAACGAUCGAACGCCCCCCUCUCCACUGCUACCCGGCUAUUUGUGCCGACGUGACGGAUUAACGAAAUAUAAAAUUUAAGUGUAUACCCACUUAAAAAAAAAAAAAAACAACGACUCACGUCUAUAAUUUAUAUCGCGACA